AUCAACCUAAGAUAUAUCAGAUUUAUAUAUGUAUAGUAUGGUUGGCAUGAGUGCGGUAUUGGUGGACUAUUAGAUCAUCUUGGACAUUACUACUUGGAUUCUAGGUUGGAGGUAACUUGGGCACUUGGAUUUGUGAUAUUUUGACCUAAGCUUAGUAGCUUGUAUAUGCCCCAUUGGAUCAUCUUGGAUAUUACUACUUGGAUUCUAGGUUGGAGAUAACUUGGGCACUUGGAUUUGUGAUAUUUUGACCUAAGCUUAGUAGCUUGUAUGUGCCCCAUAUCUGAUAUGAGCAUGGAGAUGAUACAAAUGGAUCGGAGUUGGUAGACUUUGAUGAUUUUGCUAGCCCUCAUAUGUAUUGGACUUAGAUACUAGGCUUGGUUGGAUCAUAGUUAUGAUUUGUGCUGGAUUCCUUCAUUUGAAGAUUGAAGCUGGAGAACUUUAGGUGUAGAGUUAUCAACGUGUGAUAUAUCGGAUUUAUAUAGGUAUGGUAUGAUUGAAAUGAGUGUGGUAUUGGUGGACUAUUGGAUCAUCUUGGAUAUUUGUAGGUUAUUGAGUGCAGGCAACCCUGCGUUGGUGAAGGACCCUUCCUUGCGCCGGAGGAAAUGAAGUGACAUGGGUCUUAAGACUGUGAGGGCAAAAUUGGGACGAGUGACUCAGCUCAGGGUUCCUCUUUGCAAGUUCAAGUGAAAAGGCAGAGGAUGGCAGGGCGCGCUGCUCUUGAUAGCGUUUGCAUCGCUUCUUCAUACCUCUCGUGCACUCUUCGUUUCCCGCCGAUUCGACUUGGCGUCCUUACCUUGUUUGAGGGUUAUGUGUCACGGACUUGGUUCCGCAUCCCACGUUCCCUUGCUAGGAGUCCCUAGCCUUGGCGACAGGUAGCGACGUGCACUUGGGCGCUUGGCGUCCUUGGGUAAGUUCGGGGGCGGUGCCCAAGCUUGCAGCUAUGGUGACAACUUGCAUGGGAGCAGAUGAUGUAGGAACAAGGCAGCACACGAGUAACUCGCAGCCAGGGAAAUGAUACCUAGCCGGACAUGCAGGCAGUGGAGAGUACACGGGAGGUGUGGGUAGGGGUGAAAACGUUGCCGGGAGCUGCUGCCGUUAGUUAGCCUUUAGAUCCAGAGCCGAGUGGCGAGGGUAUGACGAUAGGGGAAGCAUGGAAGAUUCCUUCCUUUGAAGAUUGAAGCUGGAGAACUUUCGGGAGUAGUAUGAUCAACAUAAGACAUAUCGGAUUUGCAUAUGUAUAGUAUGGUCGGCAUGAGUGCGGUAUUGGUGGACUAUUAGAUCAUCUUGGACAUUACUACUUUGAUUCUAGGUUGGAGGUAACUUGGGCACUUGGAUUUGUGAUAUUUUGACCUAAGCUUAGUAGCUUGUAUAUGCCUCAUUGGAUCAUCUUGGAUAUUACUACUUGGAUUCUAGGUUGGAGGUAACUUGGGCACUUGGAUUUGUGAUAUUUUGACCUAAGCUUAGUAGCUUGUAUGUGCCCCAUAUAUGGAUAUGAGCAUGGAGAUGAUACAAAUGGAUCGGGGUUGGUAGACUUUGAUGAUUUUGCUAGCCCUCCCCAUAUGUAUUGGACUUAGAUAACUAUGAUACUAUGCUUGGUUGGAUUAUAAUUAUGAUUUUUGCUAGAUUCCUUUGAAGAUUGAAGCUGGAGAACUUUAGGAUGUAGUAUGAUCAACUUGAGAUAUAUCAGAUUUAUAUAGGCAUAUGUGAUUGGCAUGAGUGUGGUAUUGGUGGACUAUUGGAUCAUCUUGGAUAUCACUACUUGGAUUCUAGGUUGGAGGUAACCUGGGCACUUGGAUUUGUGACAUUUUUACCUAAGCUUAGUAGCUUGUAUGUGCCCCAUAUGGAUAUGAGCAUGGAGAUGAUACAAAUGGAUCAGAGUUGGUAGACUUUGAUGAUUUUGCUAGC
rnacentral:lncRNA from 1 species